GCCCAGGUGGUGAAAUUGGUAGACGCAGGGGACUCAAAAUCCCCCGCCGCAAGGCGUGCCGGUUCGAUUCCGGCCCUGGGAACCA
rnacentral:tRNA from 1 species